CUCAUACGCCUGUUGCGGACAGAUGAAAUGGAUAUGGGUGUCAAAUCCUCCAGCAGUAAUGAUCUUGCCUUCGCCAGCGAUGACAUCCGUACAAGCACCGAUGACCAAGUUGGGAUGAACUCCCUUCAUGAUAUCCGGAUUACCAGCUUUGCCAAUGCCGACGAUAUGGCCAUUCUUGAUGCCAAUGUCCGCCUUGUAGAUGCCAGACCAGUCGAUGAUGAGGGCAUUGGUUAUGACCGUGUCCAGAGAUUCGCUAUCCGAACGUCCACCAGCCUGGCCCAUUCCCUCGCGCAG
rnacentral:sRNA from 1 species